UUGGCUGCUUGUUACGUUGCAACUUCCCAUUUCCUUAUGUUUUAAAAGACUCAUUAUCAGCACAAAGCUAGAUUCAUGAUUUUCACUAGGACAAAGCAAAACCUUGUCAAACAAAAGUCAUCCCCUGUAGCAGCAAACUACUUGCUGCACUGCACCUCUCUUCUUCUGGAAAUUGACUAUUCUUCCUUUCAUGAGUCUCCUUUCCCUUUGAUCCAUGGUUCCUCCAUUCAAUUCAGGGGAAGAAAAUAUUACAAUUGAACUAAUAAAAGGAGAAGUGAUCGGGUGCCGUCGGUUCUAGUGGAGUAGGUCUAUGGCCGUAGCGUUCAAAAUUCGUAGCAAAUACGAUUACAUGAAGUUCUUAGUUACUAGUGUAAGCAUUUCCUAAAAAAAGUUGUUAGUGUAAGAAUUUUUUCCAUGUGUUACCAGUAGCCCAUGUGACAUUUUUAUCCUGGCUCCGCCAUUGCUCCAGCCUAGUCAAGACCGGGCUGGCUCCGCCACUGCUUCCAUUGAUUUGAAAACUUGAAACGUAUUCAGCAAUUUUUUCAAGCUAGGAAAGAGAAUUGAUCGAUCACCGGUCUAUAUAUAUAUAGACUCGCAUUACAAUAUAAAGGGUAAUAUUCUAAACCAGCUUUAUUUUCAAGGAAACCGUCUGUGUUCUAGAUGCACUAGGACAAAAGAAUCCAUCAAAGCGUAAUCUUCAGAAACAAUCAUUCCAAAACCAUCAAGGAUUGCAUGAUUACGAAAUUAUUCCUUGAACCUAGAUUUUUCAAUAGGUUAAGUUCCUUAUUUGAUGCAGUUUGGAGAAUUGGUACAAAUUACCAAAUAUAUUUGACUGGGUACUUGAGUUGUGCAACUACUGCCGUGGAUGUCUUUUAUCUGUUUGGUAUAAGUCUUAUCAGAAUUCUAAGCCGUCUUUCCUAACUGUGUUUACUGUUUAGUAAGGAAUGUAGGAUCACGUCAUACUAUCACGUGGUCCUCUUGUAGUAUCUAAAAAUUUCUCCAUAGUAGGGGUUCAUGAGUUAUAAAUACACUUUUGACUAUCAAAUAUAUGUUGUAAAAGAUGAGGAAGAAGACAACUGUUGUCUGGAGACCUAAAACGCAUAUAGGGUACCGUCAUGUAAACGUUUAUACAAGAUUUUUCACCUGAGAAACAUCAGAUAAGUUCAUGGUAGAUUAAAGAGAAACACAGUCAAUCAAACACGUGAAUGUAUUAACUAAAUUUAGGGGUGCAUUUUAGUUUGCCUGCUAAGUACAGAGCUGACAAUAAACAAAUGAAGACCUUCUUUCUCAAUCCGGCAAAUGAAGAACUGGAUCGUUGGCUCAGUAUGUGCUCUAUAUGGCUUAUUGCAUUUAUUUGACUAAUAACUGGUAUUUAACUGAAGGAUUCCCCCUUAGCAAAAUUUUUAUAUGUUUGCAAUUACAAAUGAAGUCUUUUCCUCUGAGCAAAAAAAUUAUACGUUUGCAAUUACAACUAACUAAUUUAGAUUAACUUCCCAGACUUGUUCUCAGUUUGAUACCGUCUAUGUUGAUAAGUAUUGACAAUAAGAUAUCUUGCAAAUGGGAACUGCUCUACUGAAUUUCUAGCUCUUUGGAGGUCUCCGCCGUAUGGGAACGUAUUGUAGGAACUGGUGUAGGCCACCACGGAAGCAUAAUUUGUAAUGCUUUCCCAGAAAAUGGUUCAUCCAUGUCCAUCUCGGAACAUUCUCCUGUGUGAAUGUUGCUCUUGUAAAUAACAGUAUAAUCAUCAUCAUCAUCAUCAUCUGCUUUUUUCUUUUUUGGAAAUGUAUAAUCUGUUAGAGACACAAAACAUGUGUCCAAAUCGUUUGGAUCAGAACCGAAAUACUCCAGCGAAUUAUACUCCGAAGUAUACCUAUAGCACCGCACUCCGUCCAUUAAAGAAUAAAUGUUUCGGUGUUUCUGACCCAGCUCUCCACCCCCUUGUACCGCCAUUUGUUCUUGUUCUUCUUUUUCUAACUCCCAAACAAAUAGCCUAGCUCCAAUACCGUCCUCAUUCCCCACCAUACGCAUCAACUGCAGACGUCCACGGUGUGCCUGGAGGUGAUAUAAUGAAGAACGUUCAUCUUCAUCUUCAUUUUCCUGCCGUUCAACAAGUUUAAUAACAUGAAAUUGAUAUCUCGAAUCACCAUCAGCAGCUGUACUAUUAGAACAAGAGGAAGUGCUUUUGUUGUUGAUCAUCAAAGGUCCCAGCCCGAGCAGAUCACCAUUCGUAGCAUUCCAAUAUAGCAUUCCAUUGCUAGCAAAGGCACCCGUUGAAGCAAGUGGAUCCGACGGAAGUUUGGAAAAAAUAAAGCCGCGUGGACAUGAUACUAGUGAUUCUCUCCACUCACCAAUAUCAUUAGAGAAUACCUGAAUCUUAAAUUCGAAACAAAGGUUUUUCUGGUCUUCAGGAGCCAGAAUUCUCACAACCUUGCACUUAUACUCCGCAUCAAUUCUAAUUACCUUCCUUUUUUCUCCUUUUUGAUGAUCAGUACUAUUGUCGGUGUGUCUGUCAUCUUCUUCUUCCUUGUAGUAUGGCUCACACAUGAAUCCCACCGCAGGAACAGAGCACCAACUGCAUCGAUCGGUCGGAGGAAGACUAACAAGUUGCAUGGUCCUUGGAUUGCAGAUGUAAUAUUCACCGUUAUCGUCGACACCACGUCGUUUGCAGAGAACCAAGUCGUUCCAUGUAGCUAGCACUUUUAAUCUCUCUAUCUUCUUGGUUUUGAAACUCCUAAAUGUUGCAAACAAAUCUGUGGUAAGGAGUUCAGACCCCCACUUGUUUAUAAUAGUACCAGGUAUUAUGGUUUGGUUUUGUCUUUGCAGCCACAGAAACCGGCCCACAAAAUUAGGAUCGGACGUGAGUGAGCGCCAACUUUUUGAAACCGACUUGCAUCGAAAGACUGCUUUUACGCAAGGAAGUCGACAAAGGAUUUCAACUAAUAAUUCCUCUAGGAUAUCAUGUAUAGUGGUUGACGAUGCUCUUGCUAAUCGUUUCGACCGUCUUAAGUCAUCAUCAGACGAACAUACUGAUACUUCACUAAAUUUCCUUUUGCUAGUUCCAGGAUCUCUAUCAUUGGUUGAUGAUAAGCUCUUCUUUCUCUUCGAUUGUCUUGGGUCAUCAUCGGACGAAAACUCCGAUACGUCACUAAAUUUCCUUUUGCUGGUUGCCGGAUUUCUAUCAUCGGUUGAAGUUCUUUUCUCAGCUAAUCUCUUCGCUCUCUUCGACAGUGGUAGGUCGUCAUCAGACGAAGACACCGAGUCGUCUUCACCAAGUUUUCUUUUGGUAGUAGCUGGAUUUCUGUCACCUUCCAUUGAUUUGAAAACUUGAAACGUAUUCAGUAAUUUUUUCAACACAAUUGAUCAUCAACCAUCUUAUCUAUCUAUAUAUAGACUCGCAUUACAAUAUAUAAACGCUAAUUAUAUAUUUUUAAUUAAGGAAAGCUUCCAUGUGUCCUAGAUGCACUAGAAGUCUAGAACAAAGUAAUCCAAAACCAACUAGGAUUUGCAUGAUUAUGAAAUCGUCUCCUCGUCCAUAAUCGUUUCGCUUGGAGAUCAGUUUUAUCUCUGUUUUUUUGUUUUUUGUUUUUGAUUCUCUGCUAUACAGCCCAAUAUUCUUUAAACAGUCCAUAAUGCUAGCUAUGGGUAAUGCUAGAGGGUCUUAAUAAGGCCUAAGAUUUAUGACAUUAAUUAUAGGGAAAAUGCCCUAAUGCCCAAAUAUUUGAAAAACUAAAGCCCAUUUCAGUUAAAGUCUUAUCUUUGUGCUCAUUCCAAUGAUUCUUGAGAAAAAUACAUUAUUACCCUGUGUUUAAUUAAAUCCACACAGUUUUUAUCUCUUUCUUCUUCUUCUUCUCUCUCUCUUCCCGAUUUGGUUUCCUCUCUCUCUCUCUCUCUCUCUCUCUCUCUCUCUCUCUCUACCNCUCUCUCUCUCUCUCUCUCUCUCUCU
rnacentral:lncRNA from 1 species